UUUAUUUUCUGAAGAAAUAUACCCUACAACAUAGCAUUUUGUUGUGGAGAUGAUCAUAUAUUUGUUUUGAUCUUUUCUCACGUGUUUAUUUAGGUUUUCGUUGCUAAUCCUAAUAAGCCUCGAGAAGUAAAAAUUAUUUUGUCGAAGAACCAGGAGAAGCUACUAGAUUUGCUUCAUAAUCUGUCCCCAAGAAAAGGUUCAGAAGAUGAACAAUUUGAGGAGGAAAAGGAGUUUAUCAUCAAGGAAAUUGAAAGACUAUUGAUCUAAGUUAAUUUUUUUUUCUACUGCAGCUGUGUGUGAUUUUGUAACAAGUCCUUUUGUGACCUGUAUAUCCAAAGUUAAUUUGCUGCAAGGAUUUCAUGUUGCUAUUUAUAGGAAA